UACGUAGGGUGCGAGCGUUAAUCGGAAUUACUGGGCGUAAAGCGUGCGCAGGCGGUUUGCUAAGAGAGAUGUGAAAUCCCCGGGCUUAACCUGGGAACUGCGUUUCUAACUGGCAGGCUUGAGUGUGGCAGAGGGGGGUGGAAUUCCACGUGUAGCAGUGAAAUGCGUAGAGAUGUGGAGGAACACCGAUGGCGAAGGCAGCCCCCUGGGCUAACACUGACGCUGAUGCGCGAAAGCUAGGGGAGCAAACAGG
rnacentral:rRNA from 1 species